AAAACACACACAUCAUCAUCAUUCUCUUUCUUCUCUGCAAGUGAUCAUCGGUCAAACCCAACCACCUCAAGCAUUUAAUGAAAUCUCACUCAAAAAAACAUAAAACCCAUGUUUAUAAUAAGACUAUAAAUCUGCUACAUCUCACUCACAAAUCACAAACACCCAUCUUUGAUCAUUCUCGACUGCUAUCGUAAGAGAUGAUUCCAUCUGAAGUUCUACAACACACCCAUCUCGAUCGCUUCAUCUACGGAUGAAAAUCUCACAUCUGCGCUUCAAUUAAGUUUUUUGAGGGAGAUUGAAGAGGAAUGGGGCGAAAUUGGGGGUUAGGGUAUUGGUGUAUUGUCCAUUCAAUUGAUUGGAGGAGGGUUUGGAUUGAGAUUUGAAGGGGUGUGGAAAGAGGCGGGGUUUGUCUGGCAUAAAUACUGGUCUUUGGUUUUCAAACAUAGACUGAAACCCAUUCUUUAUCUUUACUGCUAAUGUGCUCCUCUUGUAAUACUACUGGUUAUAAGUUGUUAUUAUAAUUUAUAUUCAUGUGAUUUCCCUCAUCCUUAUCUUUACUCGUAUGUAAUUAAAUGACUUGAAAUGUUAGUGAAGUCCAUUCAGGUUAGUUUAUUUUCUUCCAUUUGCGUUGAAGUUCAAUGACCCACCCUUUGUCAUACUACUUGGAGGUUGCGGGUCAAAGUGUCGAACCUAUCCUCUUACUUCUUAUGUUUAUACUUAGACAAAAUUUUAGCUAUAGAUGUAGGUAAAUAUGCAUCCAAUGGAAAUUAGGGAUAGGAUAUUAAUUAGGGGUAAAUGUGUCUUUGCCUAUUAAUUAUGUUUAUUUGAGGUAUAUUGCUUCAUCAGUUGCCAUUUUAGAAAAUUCAAGGGAGACAAUUUAGAAGAACAAUCAUGUAGUCUUGAAAGAAACUUGGAUUAUAUUACAAAAGUUGGUUAAAAGUUCUUUGAUAAAGUAUGGAGAAUAUAUGAUUGAACCAGAAGCAUCGAGUUUGAGCGUAUUUUUUUAAAUACAAGAUUGAAUGACUUGACAAAUGUAAGGCAUUCAUGUGUUGAGACAAGGCAAAAAAGAUCAAGAAGACGGCGACGACCGAGGUACGUAUAAAUAUGUUUACAUGUAUAUGUUACAAUCGAAAACUUUUAAACAAGAUGUUGCCAGUUUAAGUAUAAAGCAUUUAUGCUUAAAAAAAAAAAAGAGGAUUGAAUAACUUUACGACGAUACCAUAAUCAUUGUGUGCAUAUAUUUUUUAUGUUUUUAACAUGUAACUAUGACAUGUUAUAACUUCUUUGGCACCAGACAGAGCACUGCAAUUCCCAUGUAUUUUACUUAAGCCGGGUUAAAGACUCAAGAGGAGUUUCUUGGUUUAAAAAGUGGGAACUUUUGUUGUCACUAAUUCAUUGUUUUUCAGGUGAGUUGUGGUAUAUGUUAGAGGGGGCAAUCUUGACCCAAAGCCUUCUAAAUGGGUUAGUUUGGGUUGCUUUUAAAAUUAUAUGGGUUGGUUUGGGUGAGAUAUUUUAACUAAAUGGGUCACAAUGGGUCAUUUGAAAUUCCAUCUUGUUAUUUUCGGGUCAAAGCGGGUCGAUAACAUUAAAGAAAUGGGUCGAUGUGGGUUAGUGUCUUAAAAAAACGUGGCAGGUUUCGGGUCGGGACGGGGUUCGUACCGUUUCGACGCGAACCGUUUUGACGUGAAUCGUUUGGUCCCGUACCGCUUUGACCCGUACCAGUUCGACCAGUACCGUUUCGACGCGAACCGUUUCGACACGUGCCGUUUUGAUGCGAACCGUUUCGACCCGUACCGUUUCGACCAGUAUCGUUUCGAACCAAAGCGUUUCGACCCGAACGGUUUCGACCCGUACCGUUUCUACCAGUACCAUUUCGACAUGAACCGUUUCGACCCCUACCGCCGUUUCGACGCGAACCGUUCAAAAUGUUUUUUAACUUGUACAUUAUAGUAAACAAAGUAGCAUAAAAUGUGGUUAAAGGACUCAAUGCGACAAAAAUAGGUUAUCUAACAGACUUUGUUAAUCUGGUUGAUAUCAUUCAUUUUAUCAUUUAUAUUCCCAGUUAGUAUUGGCAGUUAAUUAACUGCAGUUUGUGGCUUUUCGUUGCUUGGUGAUGUUGUCAAUGGUCAUGGAUUUCUAAAUUCCUUUUGUAGCUUGGUGCUGAAUUUACUGGUAGUUUCGACACGUACCUUUUCGACCAGUACCGUUUCGACGCUAACCAUUUCGAAGCGAACCGUUUCGACUCGUACCAUUUCGACGCGAACCGUUUCGACGCGUACCGUUUCGACGCGAACCGUUUCGACCAGUACCGUUUCAAACCGGACAAAAUUGCCCCUUGAUGUACAAUCUCUUUAAAAAACAUUUUUAACCAACAAGACCCGAAACCCGUUCUGAACGGAACCCGUUCCGACCCGAACCCGUUUCGACCCGAACCCGUUUUGACCCGAACCAAAACAACCCCUUUUUUAAUUGACCCGUAUUGACCCAAACCCGUUUUGACCCGAACCCGUUUUGACCCAUGACCCAACCCGACCCGUUUGCCAGGUCUAGUAUAUGUGAGUUACCGAUAUAUGCAUUUCUUUUAUGACACAUGGCAUGGCCGGCCCUGAGGGUGGGCGGGGAUUUUAACUUUCUUUUUCUGUUUUUUUUUUUUUUUAAUUUAUAUAGAGUGCAUUCGUAACUAGUACAUUAUGUGCAGUACUGACUUGUACACUAUAUUUAUUAUCAAUUUUAGAACAUUUUAUAUGCAGUAAUCAGGUAAAAUGACAAAAUUAUGUAUUUUUUUUGUUUAAAAACAUUAAUUUAUAUAAUUUCUACAUUAGUUUUCAAAAAUUUGUUAUUCAAUACUUUACUAUAUUCAAAUUAUCUUUCUAACAUAGUAUUUGUUUCUAUAAUAAGUUAUAUAAAUUUUUUAUAUAGUUUGACUUGGUAGAAUAAUAAUUUUAUUAUGAAAAAUAAAUUUAAAAGUAUUGAUGAUGGGGCACUCUUAUGUGUUAGUUAUGUAUCAUGACAUUACUAACUUUUCUUAUUCUGAUGCACUGAUGCAGGCAUGAUAAGCAAUCCAGCUUAACAAAGGAAACACAUACGUCUUUAGUCAACUGGUUGUUUAGUACUUCCUCUCUGACAAUCUCUUUUUGUGUUCGUUUUUUUUUCUAGGGGCGCAGUGGUGGUGAUCUCUACGGAGCUUACGGUAGUUAUUCUUCUGGACGCAGUGGUAGUGCUGGGGGUUCAAGGCACAUAUGUAUAUAUAUAUUCAGGGUAAUUCUUGCUGAUCAGACCACAUAUGAUGCAAAAGUUGUUGGGUUUGACCAAGAUAAAGAUGUUGCAGUACUGCGUAUCGAUGCGCCGAAAGAUAAACUGAGACCAAUACUAGUUGGUGUGUCUGCAGACUUGCUUGUUGGGCAAAGUGUUUGCUAUAGGAAACCCUAUGGGGGUUGCGGCGGUGCGGGCAUGGCGUCAGAGAUCGCAGUGGAUGGUGUCGUUUACUUUUCACCAAAACUACAACUUCAAGAAGCCUUUCCUCUACCUUGCUAGGGAACUUGCUGGGAUGCAAAUUUACACUUUGCCCAGUUUACUGUGAUUGCUCCACCAGAGUACAAAUUGGCAUGGUUGCUCAGCCAGUAAGUUUUGCUUUCGGACUGUAUCAGUUUUGGGUUGUUGGUUAUUUGGUUUAUGGCGCAUCAUUGUGUCUUUGAAGACAUGAAACCGAGCUUGCAGUGGCUGCAAACCAGCCUCCUCUGGAUGACGAUUGUUAAUCACAUUUAUAAUUGACAGCGAAGUUGGUGUUAAUUUGGUUUUUUCCUAAUAUUCAAGAGUUGUUGAGAGAGAGAUUCUUAUUUUCUUUUGAAUGAUGAGAUUGUAUGGACAUGUCCAAUUUUAUGAGGACUGUAUGUUUUUACAACAUACAUUGUAUAUUUUUUUAUUAAAGUGUUGGUUGCACUUGGAUUGAUGAUUUGGUUAUGCUUGGUCUAUAUUAAAAUAGUGGUCACGAACAUCCUUGGGAUU
rnacentral:lncRNA from 1 species